UACGUAGGGACCAAGCGUUGUUCGGAUUUACUGGGCGUAAAGGGCGCGUAGGCGGCUUAACAAGUCACUUGUGAAAUCUCCGGGCUUAACUCGGAACGGCCAAGUGAAACUGUCAAGCUAGAGUGCGGAAGGGGCAAUCGGAAUUCCUGGUGUAGCGGUGAAAUGCGUAGAUAUCAGGAGGAACACCGGUGGCGAAGGCGGCUACCUGGACAGAAACUGACGCUGAGGCGCGAAAGCUAGGGGAGCAAACAGG
rnacentral:rRNA from 1 species